rnacentral:lncRNA from 1 species
GUUAGAGUUAGGGUUAGUUAGGGUUGGAGUUAGGGUUAGAGUUAGGGUUAGUUAGGGUUAGUUAGGGUUAGAGUUAGGGUUAGAGUUAGGGUUAGAGUUAGGGUUAGAGUUAGGGUUAGUUAGGGUUAGAGUUAGGGGUAGAGUUAGGGUUAGUUAGGGUUAGAGUUAGGGUUAGUUAGGGUUAGAGUUAGGGUUAGUUAGGGUUAGAGUUAGGGUUAGAGUUAGAGUUAGGGUUAGUUAGGUUUAUGAUAAAUUCUGUUUUUUGGUGGUUAGGGUUAGGGUUAGUUAGGGUUAGAGUUAGGGUUAGGGUUAGUUAGGGUCAUAGUUAGGGUUAGUUAGGGUCAUAGUUAGGGUUAGUUAGGGUUAGAGUUAGGGUUAGUUAGGGUUAGAGUUAGGGUUUGAGUUAGGGUUAGUUAGGGUUAGAGUUAGAGUUAGGGUUAGUUAGGGUUAGGGUUAGUUAUUGUUAGUUAGGGUUAGAGUUAGAGUUAGGGUUAGUUAGGGUUAGAGUUAGGGUUACUAUUGAGCCACUAUAAACCAGUAAAGGCUUGGGGUUAGAGUUAGAGUUAGGUUUAAGGCCAGACUGGACUGUAGAGCCACUAUAAAUCAGUAAAGGGUUGGGGUUAGGUUUAAGGCCAGACUGGACUAUAGAGCCACUAUAAACCAGUAAAGGGUUGGGGUUAGGUUUAAGGCCAGACUGGACUAUAGAGCCACUAUAAACCAGUGAAACAUCCUGUCCUCUAACUGGGUGCCCUGCUGGCUCUGUGAAAGGUCCCUAGUGUGGCUCUGAAUUCCUUCUCCACUCAUCCCUCUCAUCCCAUGCUGACUUCCUUUCUUUAGACUGCUUUGAUGUCCGAGUCUCACCAAUAGAACAUGCCUCAUUCUGUCUGUCUGUCUUUCUGACUGUCUGUCCGCCUGUGUUUGUCUGUCUGGAGAAUACAGCCAUACAUAUCUCACUGCAGUUUCUUCAUAAUUCUACUACCUCUCGAUGUGAAAGUAUACAGUGAGUUGUAUGUUACAAUGAACUCUCACUCUGCAAGAAAUGCUUCAGUCUAGGUUCCAGUUAGAAGCUACAGUGUACUGUAUAUGUCAGUGGUUAGAGGAUUUGUUUAGUCCAAUGUGUUGGCGAUUUCAUUUAGGCUUUUCUGGACAUUCUAAUGUUCUGUUUUCUCUAUAUGUGGGAGCCAAUGAGAAAACCAUGCCAUAGUGAUGUCACCAGAGGACCAAGACAUUAUGUUACUCAGUUAUCUGCUGCAGUAAACUCCCAGCUCAGUGGUGUGAGCAGAGUAACAAUGUCCUCUGUUCUCUGGGUGUGUCCCCAAUGGCACCCUAUUCCCUAUGUAGUGCACUACUUUUAGCCAGGGCCCAUAGUGCACUAUAUAGGGAAUAGGGUUCCAUUUGGGACACAGCUCUAUCUCAUCUCCAGUCCUCACUUGACAUUGUUUCUGGAACACCUGCGAGAGAAGGCAAGAAACCUGGCCUGUAUAGACUAACCCUAAACCUCGUGCUCUGCACCCUGACUGUCCGAGGCCUUGGGUUCAUCAGCCACAGCUACCCGUGCAUGAUGUACCACUACACACAGAUCCACCUGCCUCAUGAACCCAAGGCCUCGGACAGGGUUGUUGCUAGUCUAACUGUUAUUAUCAAAUUCAGGAUUUUUGGACCGUUCAACGGGUCCUUUUCCUCAACAGUG